CAACCCAGUUACUAUGAGUGGUCGUGUCAGACGGAUGCUUUGGACGAGCAUUUUUCGCGUAAACUAAAUUGAUUUCUUUUAAUUAAAUUACAGUGAAUAGUUGUGUUAACGAUGUGUGUGUGAUGUGUGAAAUGAGAAUUAUUAUUGUGAAUAGAAAAACACAUAAGACUUAAAAAAGGGGAUGUAAAGUGAAACAAAAAUGGCUUCAGGAGACACUGAUCAUAUAGAAAUAAUGGAAAGUGGUGUGUCGAAGAAGACGGAUAACGCAACGGGACCUGGCUCGGAGGACGACGAUCGCGACAAGAGCUCAAUAGCUGAAAAAAUGCUCCGUACGACCCGGCCGUAGGCCCUUCGGGCGCCAUCAGCAAAGUCCACAAGUCGGACAGGAAGAUCGGCCACCGGCGAGUCGGCGAGGGUGGCGAGAUCACCUACAAGAAGAUCCAGUCGUCGCAGAUUAUGGGCUCCAUACAACUUGGUAAGUCUUUGAAAGAUAUGAUGAAGAAUUACGCGAACUUCGCGUCAUACAACUCCACUCUGAUG